GUGGGGAAUCUUCCGCAAUGGACGAAAGUCUGACGGAGCAACGCCGCGUGAGUGAAGAAGGUUUUCGGAUCGUAAAGCUCUUUCGUUAGGGACGAACGUGCUCUUUGUGAAUAAUGAGGAGUAAUGACGGUACCUAAAUCAGAAGCCACGGCUAACUACGUGCCAGCAGCCGCGGUAAUACGUAGGUGGCCAGCGUUGUCCGGAAGUAUUGGGCGUAAAGCGCGCGCAGGCGGGAUAUCAAGGCUGUCUUAAAAGUGCGAGGCUCAACCUCGUGAGGGGACAGAAACUGGUAUUCUUGAGUGUCGGAGAGGAAAGUGGAAUUCCAAGUGUAGCGGUGAAAUGCGUAGAGAUUUGGAAGAACACCAGUGGCGAAGGCGACUUUCUGGACGAUGUCUGACGCUGAGGCGCGAAAGCUAGGGGAGCGAACGGGAUUAGAUACCCUGGUAGUCC
rnacentral:rRNA from 1 species